AUUGAACGCUGGCGGAAUGCUUUACACAUGCAAGUCGAACGGCAGCACGGGGGCAACCCUGGUGGCGAGUGGCGAACGGGUGAGUAAUACAUCGGAACGUGCCCAGUCGUGGGGGAUGACGUAGCGAAAGUUACGCUAAUACCGCAUACGAUCUACGGAUGAAAGCGGGGGACCGUAAGGCCUCGCGCGAUUGGAGCGGCCGAUGUCAGAUUAGGUAGUUGGUGAGGUAAAGGCUCACCAAGCCGACGAUCUGUAGCUGGUCUGAGAGGACGACCAGCCACACUGGGUCUGAGACACGGCCCAGACUCCUACGGGAGGCAGCAGUGGGGAAUUUUGGACAAUGGGCGCAAGCCUGAUCCAGCCAUUCCGCGUGCAGGACGAAGGCCUUCGGGUUGUAAACUGCUUUUGUACGGAACGAAAAGGCUCUGGUUAAUACCUGGGGCUCAUGACGGUACCGUAAGAAUAAGCACCGGCUAACUACGUGCCAGCAGCCGCCGUAA
rnacentral:rRNA from 1 species